rnacentral:rRNA from 1 species
CCUACGGGUGACAGCAGUAGGGAAUAUUGCUCAAUGGGGGAAACCCUGAAGCAGCAACGCCGCGGGGAGGAUGAAGGUUUUCGGAUUGUAAACUCCUUUUGGUAGAGAAGAGAAUGACGGUAGCUAACGAAUAAGCACCGGCUAACGCCGUGCCAGCAGCCGCGGUAAUACGGAGGGUGCAAGCGUUACUCGGAAUACCUGGGCGUACAGAGCGCGUAGGCGGGAUAGCAAGUCAGAUGUGAAAUCCUCUGGCUGAACCCUAGAACUGCCUUUGAAACUGUUAUUCUAGAGUUUGGGAGAGGUAGGUGGAAUUCUUGUUGUAGCGGUCCCAUCCGU